rnacentral:sRNA from 1 species
AGUACGGCAUUGGGGGAUAUGCCGAGAUGUCCUACGGGAUCCGUAGCAAAAGUGUUGAGUACACGGUCAAAUUUGACGGACUGUAUAACACUAAACGAAGAAAACAAGAAUAUUUUGUGACUAUUGAGAAAAGAACGCAGAUUCUACACAAACAAAUGAAAAGAAUACGAAGACGGAAGAAUAACAAACUAAGAGGCACUUGGUUGGCUCUGAACAAAAAGAGCAGAAAGUUGAUUGCAAAGGCGAGACUGCGAAUGAGAGUCACUUCGAAGGGGGGAGCGACAAUUUUUGGCACUAUCAAACCAUCGGGCACAUGUGGAGCGGACUGUAAGGACGACGGACGAUUUUACCGUAACGACGAAAGCUGGAUCCCAUCAAAGAACAGCACGUGUCGAACAUGCAGUUGCAAGAAUGGUAACGUUAUUUGCCACCAGGUGAUUUGUCCGAAGCUCUCCUGUAACAAUCAAGUUCGUGUGGACGGAGAAUGCUGUCCAACUUGUCCAGAAACACUGACUCAGGACAAUGGGACAUGUUAUUAUCCAGGAGAUAAGCGACAUUACAGGGCGGGGACUGUAUGGCAUCCUUACAUUCCACCAACCGGAUAUUCUACGUGUGUCACGUGCACUUGUGACAAAAACACUUUGGAGGUUCGGUGUAACCGAUUACCUUGCCCAGUGUUGAACUGUUCAGAAGACAGCAAGGUUCGAGUCCAUAGAAGCGAUUGCUGUCAAGUCUGCACAGACAGAAAUAUAUUAUCGGAAGUUAUUCAAACCACGGUGUCGCCAACAGAAAAACUAGGAAAUAAUGAAUGUAGAGUUGGAAAGCGAGUGUAUAAAAAUAAAUCCCGAUUUCAUCCUGUAUUAAGUUCCCACGGAAUCCUCAAGUGUAUUAUUUGUAAAUGUAAAAAUGGAAGAAUACAAUGUAAACGGAGAACCUGCAAAAAGAAGAGACUGUGUAAAGAGGGACCAACCCGACAAAAUAAAUGUUGUAGCUGCGUUCGUUAGUACAGACACAAAAACCAAAUUAGAAAUAAGUACCCUUACCAAUGUAAGCUCUGUGAUAUUACUGACAUGUUGGGAACAAAGAGUGAGCAUAAAUGUAGCUAAAUGGCGAAACAGACCCCAAACAUUCAACCGCCUUACGGAACAGCUGUUCUCUUCUUCUUUCAUUUGUUUUUAUUUCAAGAGAUGACUGUUCUGUGACUUAUUUCAUUAGUCUUUCCUUAUUAAUCUGUAUUUUUUUGAGUGCAAUAAUAAUAAGUGAAUGAGUUUUUUGCAUGAGAGGGUUUCUUAUAUAAUCAAAUUUGUCGGCAUGAAUUUAUAUAAUUCUUCAGUUCCUAAUCAAGAUUUUUGUUGUGUUAAAUUAUAUCAAAAAUGCAAUCACAAUUGAUAGAAAAGUUGCAGUAUGUUGUGUUUUGAUGCGAGUGUACGUAUGUUUAUCUAUUUAUUUUCUUCUUUUAUUACAAAGAGAAUCUGUUGAUUUGAUAGUUUUACUUUCUUCAUUUGUAAAUAUUAUCUCCAACCAUGAUUAUAUGAACUGAGAUUGUACAUGUUGGUGGUUCCUUGAUAUCAUGUGUGUGCUGAACUUUUAUUUUGUACUGCAUGGUAUAAUUAAGGAUUGAGUGCCAAUUGUUCGUUAUGGAGUAUGUGACUGAUUUUACAAUAUAUUUUUGUACAUUGUUUUAAAUGGUUUCGAGACCGUUUCUUUACUUGUUGACAUGAUGCUAUCAUUCCAUAAUAAUACUAUACUAUGUUGCUAUCAUAUUCAUUUUAUUUCAUCAUGUAGAUAAACAUUAAAUAAAAUUAUAUUGCAGAUGUAUUUAAAUUAAUGAGCAGUUAAUUUUUUGAAAAUGAAUUUAUCACAAUGAAAUGAAAUUAAAAGAUUGAAAUAAUCUAU